rnacentral:rRNA from 1 species
UUGCCCUACGGGGCGCAGCAGUGAGGAAUAUUGGUCAAUGGGCGGAAGCCUGAACCAGCCAAGUCGCGUGAGGGAAUAAGGCCCUACGGGUCGUAAACCUCUUUUGCCGGGGAGCAAGGGCGGGGACGUGUCCCGGCCCGGAGAGUACCCGGAGAAAAAGCAUCGGCUAACUCCGUGCCAGCAGCCGCGGUAAUACGGAGGAUGCGAGCGUUAUCCGGAUUUAUUGGGUUUAAAGGGUGCGUAGGCGGACUGUUAAGUCAGCGGUAAAAGCCCGGGGCUCAACCCCGGCGAGCCGUUGAAACUGG